rnacentral:rRNA from 1 species
AGAGUUUGAUCCUGGCUCAGGAUGAACGCUGGCGGCGUGCCUAAGAUAUGCAAGUCGAGCGGUAACACUUCGGGUGACGAGCGGCGGACGGCUGAGUAACGCGUAGGAACGUACCCUAAAGUGAGGGAUAAGCACCGGAAACGGUGUCUAAUACCGCAUGUGGUCUUCGGACUAAACCUUCGGGGCUUUAGGAGCGGCCUGCGUAUGAUUAGCUUGUUGGUGAGGUAAAGGCUCACCAAGGCGACGAUCAUUAGCUGGUCUGAGAGGAUGAUCAGCCAGACUGGGACUGAGACACGGCCCAGACCCCUACGGGGGGCAGCAAUUAGGAAUCUUUCACAAUGGGGGCAACCCUGAUGGAGCAACGCCGCGUGCAGGAUGAAGGCCUUCGGGUUGUAAACUGCUUUUCUCUGAGAAGAUUAUGACGGUAACAGAGGAAUAAGGACCUGCUAACUACGUGCCAGCCGCCGCGGUAAUAC